rnacentral:rRNA from 1 species
AGUAACGCGUGGGCAACCUGCCUUAUACAGGGGGAUAACAGCUGGAAACAGUUGCUAAUACCGCAUAAGCGCACAGUGUCGCAUGGCACAGUGUGAAAAACUAAGGUGGUAUAAGAUGGGCCCGCGUCUGAUUAGCUAGUUGGGAGGGUAACGGCCUGCCAAGGCAACGAUCAGUAGCCGGCCUGAGAGGGCGGACGGCCACAUUGGGACUGAGACACGGCCCAGACUCCUACGGGAGGCAGCAG